GCCUGAAUGAAGCUACUUUAACACACACAUUUUUCUCUGUAACGGACAUCAGAGUCUUCUUGUGCUUAGGAAUGCUGGGCAGCACUAUGCCGGGGGGCCAUUUUCAACAGUGAAAUCACCUACGAAAAGCACUAAAAUGCAAAACACGUGUCGCUAAAUAUACCAGGAAAAGAACACUUGUUUACAGUCUGAGAGCUGAAACGAGAAGGCAGCGCGUCACCAUGUUUGACCUCAACUGGAAACCUGUGCGUCAGACGACUCAAGUUUUUCGCUGCUUUGCACAUGUCUGCACAUGACCACAAAAGUGCUGCAAAUACUGAUCCGGAAUUACAAGCACAUUCUAGCAACCCUUUGUGCCAAGAGCCAUGCUGGAGGUGAGGGAUGCUGUGGUGACCACGACAAGCAGGC
rnacentral:lncRNA from 1 species